AACGAACGCUGGCGGCGUGCCUAACACAUGCAAGUCGAACGUGAAAGGGAGCAAUCCCAAGUAAAGUGGCGUACGGGUGAGUAACACGUAGGUAAUCUACCUGAGAGUCUGGAAUAACCUGCCGAAAGGCGGGCUAAUACUGGAUAGAGCGAAGGAACUCGUGAAGGGUUUCUGGGGAAAGGGAGCUCGGAAGGGCCCUUGCUUUCAGAUGAGCCUGGGUCCCAUUAGCUAGUUGGUGGGGUAACGGCCCACCAAGGCGAUGAUGGGUAGCUGGUCUGAGAGGAUGAUCAGCCACACUGGAACUGAAACACGGUCCAGACUCCUACGGGAGGCAGCAGUGGGGAAUCUUGCGCAAUGGACGAAAGUCUGACGCAGCCACGCCGCGUGAGUGAAGAAGGCCUUCGGGUUGUAAAGCUCUGUCGAGCGGGACGAACAAGCUUAGGGUGAAUAGCCCUAGGCCCUGACGGUACCGCUAAAGGAAGCACCGGCUAACUCUGUGCCAGCAGCCGCGGUAACAC
rnacentral:rRNA from 1 species